GUGAAUGUGUUCACGCAGAUAUAAGAAGUUGAGGUUGGGGUUGAUGAUCCACAUGAUGGUGAUGGACCAGGACAGCUCUGGACCUCCUGACUGGCAGCUCCAUCCUCAACCUCCCUUCCUGUCCUUCACACAUGUGCAGGCAGAGGCAGUUUUCUGAAGGAUGGUUAAUGUCAGUACCAACAUGUUGUGAUGGAGGCUUCCACCUGAGCUGAACACAGAAACUUGCACACAGUGAUGGAAGCAGUCGUUCCUGUUCAGCAUUGAUAUGCCGGUAAUGGGUUUGAUGAGCCACAGCAUGGUGAUGGGCAAUCAGCAUCAGGACCAGGGCCGCUCACAAGGAGAACCUCCUGCCCUGCCUCUUCAUCCUCAACCUCCAAUCUUCCUGCUCUUCACACAUGUGCAGGCACAGAGCCAGUUUUCAGAGGGAGGGCUGAUGACACCAGCAACUUCGGAUCUGAACCUGAUCAACCCAGCACCAACCACUGUGCCGCUCCUCU